rnacentral:ncRNA from 1 species
CCUGGGCUUCCAUUUCGCGGUCGGAAAGGCCGCCACAAAUCUGAAUAAUGCGGUCAGACAGCGUCGAUUUACCGUGGUCGAUAUGUGCAAUGAUGGAGAAGUUACGUAUAUUCUUCAUAUAUUAAAAUAUUUAUGCCUUACGAAUACUUUGAGGCCGCGGUACGGAGCCUGACAUUAUUGUCGUUCGAAAACGCCGCAUUCUACACUACAACCGCGUAACCAGGAAAUGCUCUUCCCGCAAGCAUAGCGCUUCCUGCGAGCAGCGUUCCAAAAAAAUAAAGCCAGUGUAAUCACUGGCUCAUUUCGGAGGGCGAUACCGUGCGGACCAGGUCGGGCGGGAGCCCCACGCUGAUAAUCACCGGCUGCCAGGUUUCCCGGGCGGCCAGCCGCGGCGAGAAGCCUUUGGCAACCAAAAAACCGCCCACACCGCCAAGCACCGCGCCGCACAGCGCGGCGAUAUCGCUACCGAACAGCACCUGAAACAGCGCCGCGACCACAAACAGCCCAAGCAGCGGUGACAUAUAUACCAGCAUGGCGGAACCGAGCAGGCUGCUUUCGCUGAUACCCAGCUCAACCUUUUGCCCGGCCACCAGCGGCUGCGCGCUGGGUACAGAGAUGGUGUGGCUGGUUUGCGGCCCGAGCUUGUUCAGCACCCGGCUGCCGCAGCCCGCACGCGAGGCGCAGCUGUUGCAGGAAGCUUUGACAUCACAGCUCACCUGCGCCACGCCGUUGUCCCACGCGAUGACGGUGGCCCACUCUUUAAUCAUUGCGGCGCACCCUUGAAUUGAAUGCCGUCCGCCACGCG